rnacentral:rRNA from 1 species
GAUAAAGCGGGUGAAAAGCCCGCUCGCCGGAAGACCAAGGGUUCCUGUCCAACGUUAAUCGGGGCAGGGUGAGUCGACCCCUAAGGCGAGGCCGAAAGGCGUAGUCGAUGGGAAACGGGUUAAUAUUCCCGUACUUGGUGUUACUGCGAAGGGGGGACGGAGAAGGCUAUGUUGGCCGGGCGACGGUUGUCCCGGUUUAAGCGUGUAGGUGUGUGUUCCAGGUAAAUCCGGUUCACUUUAACACUGAGGCGUGAUGACGAGGCACUACGGUGCUGAAGCAACAAAUGCCCUGCUUCCAGGAAAAGCCUCUAAGCAUCAGGUAACAUCAAAUCGUACCCCAAACCGACACAGGUGGUCAGGUAGAGAAUACCAAGGCGCUUGAGAGAACUCGGGUGAAGGAACUAGGCAAAAUGGUGCCGUAACUUCGGGAGAAGGCACGCUGACACGUAGGUGAAGUGAUUUACUCAUGGAGCUGAAGUCAGUCGAAGAUACCAGCUGGCUGCAACUGUUUAUUAAAAACACAGCACUGUGCAAACACGAAAGUGGACGUAUACGGUGUGACGCCUGCCCGGUGCCGGAAGGUUAAUUGAUGGGGUCAGCGCAAGCGAAGCUCCUGAUCGAAGCCCCGGUAAACGGCGGCCGUAACUAUAACGGUCCUAAGGUAGCGAAAUUCCUUGUCGGGUAAGUUCCGACCUGCACGAAUGGCGUAAUGAUGGCCAGGCUGUCUCCACCCGAGACUCAGUGAAAUUGAACUCGCUGUGAAGAUGCAGUGUACCCGCGGCAAGACGGAAAGACCCCGUGAACCUUUACUAUAGCUUGACACUGAACAUUGAGCCUUGAUGUGUAGGAUAGGUGGGAGGCUUUGAAGUGUGGACGCCAGUCUGCAUGGAGCCGACCUUGAAAUACCACCCUUUAAUGUUUGAUGUUCUAACGUGGACCCGUGAUCCGGGUUGCGGACAGUGUCUGGUGGGUAGUUUGACUGGGGCGGUCUCCUCCUAAAGAGUAACGGAGGAGCACGAAGGUUGGCUAAUCCUGGUCGGACAUCAGGAGGUUAGUGCAAUGGCAUAAGCCAGCUUGACUGCGAGCGUGACGGCGCGAGCAGGUGCGAAAGCAGGUCAUAGUGAUCCGGUGGUUCUGAAUGGAAGGGCCAUCGCUCAACGGAUAAAAGGUACUCCGGGGAUAACAGGCUGAUACCGCCCAAGAGUUCAUAUCGACGGCGGUGUUUGGCACCUCGAUGUCGGCUCAUCACAUCCUGGGGCUGAAGUAGGUCCCAAGGGUAUGGCUGUUCGCCAUUUAAAGUGGUACGCGAGCUGGGUUUAGAACGUCGUGAGACAGUUCGGUCCCUAUCUGCCGUGGGCGCUGGAGAACUGAGGGGGGCUGCUCCUAGUACGAGAGGACCGGAGUGGACGCAUCACUGGUGUUCGGGUUGUCAUGCCAAUGGCACUGCCCGGUAGCUAAAUGCGGAAGAGAUAAGUGCUGAAAGCAUCUAAGCACGAAACUUGCCCCGA